GAUGAACGCUGGCGGCGUGCUUAACACAUGCAAGUCGAACGAUGAAGCCCAGCUUGCUGGGUGGAUUAGUGGCGAACGGGUGAGUAACACGUGAGUAACCUGCCCUUAACUCUGGGAUAAGCCUGGGAAACUAGGUCUAAUACCGGAUAGGAGCGCCUACCGCAUGGUGGGUGUUGGAAAGAUUUAUCGGUUUUGGAUGGACUCGCGGCCUAUCAGCUUGUUGGUGAGGUAAUGGCUCACCAAGGCGACGACGGGUAGCCGGCCUGAGAGGGUGACCGGCCACACUGGGACUGAGACACGGCCCAGACUCCUACGGGAGGCAGCAGUGGGGAAUAUUGCACAAUGGGCGCAAGCCUGAUGCAGCGACGCCGCGUGAGGGAUGACGGCCUUCGGGUUGUAAACCUCUUUCAGUAGGGAAGAAGCGAAAGUGACGGUACCUGCAGAAGAAGCACCGGCUAACUACGUGCCAGCAGCCGCGGUAAUACGUAGGGUGCGAGCGUUAUCCGGAAUUAUUGGGCGUAAAGAGCUCGUAGGCGGUUUGUCGCGUCUGUCGUGAAAGUCCGGGGCUUAACCCCGGAUCUGCGGUGGGUACGGGCAGACUAGAGUGCAGUAGGGGAGACUGGAAUUCCUGGUGUAGCGGUGGAAUGCGCAGAUAUCAGGAGGAACACCGAUGGCGAAGGCAGGUCUCUGGGCUGUAACUGACGCUGAGGAGCGAAAGCAUGGGGAGCGAACAGG
rnacentral:rRNA from 1 species